CACUGAAACACCGGUUUUCAUACAAUCACCGAAGUUAAGCAACGCAGAACCUGGUUAGUACCUAAAUGGGUGACUGCUUGGGAAUACCAGGUGCUGUUAG